AUUGAACGCUGGCGGCAGGCUUAACACAUGCAAGUCGAGCGGAGUGAUGGUGCUUGCACUAUCACUUAGCGGCGGACGGGUGAGUAAUGCUUAGGAAUCUGCCUAUUAGUGGGGGACAACAUUUCGAAAGGAAUGCUAAUACCGCAUACGUCCUACGGGAGAAAGCAGGGGAUCUUCGGACCUUGCGCUAAUAGAUGAGCCUAAGUCGGAUUAGCUAGUUGGUGGGGUAAAGGCCUACCAAGGCGACGAUCUGUAGCGGGUCUGAGAGGAUGAUCCGCCACACUGGGACUGAGACACGGCCCAGACUCCUACGGGAGGCAGCAGUGGGGAAUUUUGGACAAUGGGCGCAAGCCUGAUCCAGCCAUGCCGCGUGUGCGAAGAAGGCCUUAUGGUUGUAAAGCACUUUAAGCGAGGAGGAGGCUACUCUAGUUAAUACCUAGGGAUAGUGGACGUUACUCGCAGAAUAAGCACCGGCUAACUCUGUGCCAGCAGCCGCGGUAAUACAGAGGGUGCAAGCGUUAAUCGGAUUUACUGGGCGUAAAGCGCGCGUAGGCGGCUAAUUAAGUCAAAUGUGAAAUCCCCGAGCUUAACUUGGGAAUUGCAUUCGAUACUGGUUAGCUAGAGUGUGGGAGAGGAUGGUAGAAUUCCAGGUGUAGCGGUGAAAUGCGUAGAGAUCUGGAGGAAUACCGAUGGCGAAGGCAGCCAUCUGGCCUAACACUGACGCUGAGGUGCGAAAGCAUGGGGAGCAAACAGGAUUAGAUACCCUGGUAGUCCAUGCCGUAAACGAUGUCUACUAGCCGUUGGGGCCUUUGAGGCUUUAGUGGCGCAGCUAACGCGAUAAGUAGACCGCCUGGGGAGUACGGUCGCAAGACUAAAACUCAAAUGAAUUGACGGGGGCCCGCACAAGCGGUGGAGCAUGUGGUUUAAUUCGAUGCAACGCGAAGAACCUUACCUGGCCUUGACAUAGUAAGAACUUUCCAGAGAUGGAUUGGUGCCUUCGGGAACUUACAUACAGGUGCUGCAUGGCUGUCGUCAGCCCGUGUCGUGAGAUGUUGGGUUAAGUCCCGCAACGAGCGCAACCCUUUUCCUUAUUUGCCAGCGAGUAAUGUCGGGAACUUUAAGGAUACUGCCAGUGACAAACUGGAGGAAGGCGGGGACGACGUCAAGUCAUCAUGGCCCUUACGGCCAGGGCUACACACGUGCUACAAUGGUCGGUACAAAGGGUCGCUACCUAGCGAUAGGAUGCUAAUCUCAAAAAGCCGAUCGUAGUCCGGAUUGGAGUCUGCAACUCGACUCCAUGAAGUCGGAAUCGCUAGUAAUCGCGGAUCAGAAUGCCGCGGUGAAUACGUUCCCGGGCCU
rnacentral:rRNA from 1 species